AAUGCUGCUGGGAACUUAACAAAUUGAGUUCUGCGUCUGGUUGCUCGCUUAUUCUUCAAUAAUCGAAUGCUUCGUUUUCUCAGUUGAGUGAAUUCACCUUUAGGUACGUUUUGACCUUCGCUUGAAUUACUUGGAUGGAUAACCAUAAUUUUCUUGUGCUAUGCUAUUUGGAUUGUGAGUGGCAAAAAAUAAGUAGAAAUUAGAAGGUACUCACAGAGAUCUCGCAUGCAACCUUACUUCAUUCAUGCUUGUUUCAUGUAUUCGAUCGAUAUGCAUCUUCGAUAUUGCAUGACGAUCUUCUGCAGAUUAAUAGAGUUCAAAUAUGUUUCAUUGUUCUCUAUUGCCUUUGAAAUUAGCUCUGGAAUUUGGAAAGAAGGGUGAUGAAAUCUGAGUCUGAUGUAUGAAAGGUUUCACCAAAUGAGAUGGUGAAUUGAUGAUGUGUGCUAUGUGUUUGAGUUAAAACGUUUGAAAUCUCAUCGACUUAAUUUAUGUUGCCACGGAAUCAAGGGUAUAUAUGAAGUUACAUGAUACCAGGGUACUCGUAUCGGUCCCGGCAGCGCGAGGUUGCCGGAGAAGGGUUAGGUUUGUUCGCGGGAUCCUCCCGUCGAGCAGCCUAGGGUUCUCGGUCAAUUAAGGUUUGACGAGACGAACUUGCGGAAAAUAAAGUACAAUAAAAGAUAAAGUAACGAUAAAGGAUAAACUGAAUUGAUAUUUCUUGAAUUGAUCUAAAUGACUAACAAUGUCCACUAUUUAUAAUAGUGGAUACUAACUUAAUGAGCAAGAUAAAAGAUAUGAAAAAGAUAUGCAAAUCCAUAAUUAACUAACUAAAUAAUAAUAAUAAUAAUAAUAAUAAUAAUAAUCAUCGUAUCAUUACAUGCAAACAUCAUUGUAGAUUUUACUUGCUCUUUAUAUUUGGUGAUUGCUGCAGGAGUCUCUUCACCAUAUAUGCCAUGGUUCCCUUACACCUUAACUGACUAAUACUUACACAGCUAAUCCCCGACUCUUGUUAUUAUUAAGCUUCUUCAAAAGAAGGUGCGUCUUCUGUGCAAAACAUCUUACCCACAUGAGUGUCUCAGUCAUGACAUUUUCCAAUGUCUGAGUUGUGCAACACUCAUUUGAGCAAGAUGUUUUCCAGUGAGGAGACUCGUAAUGCCAUAUCAAGUCCCCGGGAGGGCCUAUUUAUACUUCUUUUCAGGCCUCAGGGAUGGGUUUAUUGAGUAACUUAAUGAAAUCUCAGUUACUCUUAUCUUAUUGUGAGCCUGUCAUUGUUAACUGAGAGGAUGUUAAAAUAUUGGUAGACUAUCUUUCAUUGUCUUUUUUUGUGUUGAUAGAGUUGCAGUACAGAUAAUAAUUGUACUUACAACGAGGUAUUUGUCAGUACAUUAAGUUAGUACCCUCCUUUGCUACUAUAAAUAGAGGGAUAUGUUGAAUUAAUUAGGAGAUAGGUUCGAUCUUUUCCCUCUUGAACUUGAGUUGUCAAGGUAUGUGUAUAAAUCAUCUUGGUUGUUGUGUAAGUUUUCUUCUAUUUCAUUUUUACACUUACUGUAACUGUGGUUUAAUUUGCAACUUAUUGUUUGAGGAUAACCAUGGUUUUUUCCACUUUCACAUUCUGCAUGUGCUCUGAGCUUUGAGCAGCAGCGAGCAUUGAUUCCAUAAGACAUGUACGGCCCCGACAGCCAUGGAGUAUCUGCUUAUGGGCUGAUUUGCUGUGACAAGGACGUUGAGGGUCUGUCCAGGACCGAGCAUCACCUUGUCCGUGGGCAGCGCCUUGGUGUACUCUGCGUCUGCUUCGACUAUGGUGAGCUUGUGGUUGGCGAUUGCAAAGAAGUUUUCUGUGUUCAAUCCUGCGUUGAUCAGCCUCAGCAGAGAAAUUGAGGCAGGUGUUACCGUUGGCGGAGCAGUUAUAGUUGGGGCCAGGGUGGCCGUUGAUCGUGUAAGCAUCAGCCUUCGGAGCGCCUCCACCGCUGGCCAAAACUGACUGCUCGAGCUUUAGAGCAUCUUUCAACCAAUAUUCCCCUGUUAUUUGCAAAAAAAUGAGUUAAGACUAAUUAACAAGACAUAAGGAAAAGGGUAGGGGACGCCAGGUUUGGGGUAAACGAUGAAGGCGCCAUAAACGGUUGCCCGAAGCCAGGAGAAGUGAGCAUGCCAGAAAAAGGUGCCCUUUUGUUGAACCAGAGUGAACUCGUAACUAAAAGUCUG